rnacentral:misc_RNA from 1 species
GAAAUGCGAUAAGUAGUGUGAAUUGCAGAAUUCAGUGAAUCAUCGAAUCUUUGAACGCACAUUGCGCCCCUUGGCAUUCCUUGGGGCAUGCCUGUUCGAGCGUCAUGUAGACCCUCAAGCUCAGCUUGGCGAUGGGCGUCUGCCCGCGCCCCCGCGCGCGGACUCGCCCCAAAAUCAUUGGCGGCCGGUAUCACUUUGGCUUCGAGCGCAGCAGAAACGCGCACCUCGGACCGGGUGGAUCGGCCCCCAGGAGCCCAUAUUUGCCAUCUUGACCUCGGAUCAGGUAGGGAUACCCGCUGAACUUAA